GGACUGCAGUUAAAAGCUAGGGCUAGGACUUGGAGGAUGUGUAGGCAAACGGAAGGAGAGCCGGGGAAGAAAAACCGAAAUGGAUUCAUUCUCUGUCCUGGAUGGAGGAGGAGAGGAGAAGCGGACGUGCAAGCUUCCUUCAGCUGCCUCUGUCCGGUGGAAAGUGCUCAGACCCCCGGGGCUGCGCCGGGCUGAGGCUCCGCACGGACUUUCGCUCCAAGCUGCCAAUCAAGGCUCUCGCUAGCCACCACCCUGCUCUGGCACCGACACGAUCUGCAGGAUCUCCCCCUGUGAGAUGCAACUCAGCAGCUCUGUCCCCUCUGCCAUCUCAGCGCUGCCAGUGGAGAAGCCCAGGAGGAGCACAGAGCAGUGGCUGAGCAGCAAUCUGAAUAUUCGUAUUUAACUCUUCAAACAACAGAAGAUACUUCAAAACCAAGUUCUCACAUACUGACAAGGUGCUGCAAACACCCUGUGACAAAGAUCAGAGGGAAAUACUUAUUUGAAGAAAUCUUUGCCAUUAGCUGUAUUUGUUCUGCCAGAAGGGCUAUAUUCUGACUGUUGUUUGACAGAGGCAAACAUGAGUAACCCUACUCUCUUCUUACACUUGAGACACUGAAAAAAGCUGAAAGAUAAUUGAAGAGGAAAAAAACCCUGUAUAAAAUUGAACAGCAAACUCUGUGUACAUCUGUGUGCACAUACAAGUGCACACGCAUGUACUGCUGCUGGCGUGCUUGUUUUCAAGUGGAGAUUUCAGUGAUGGUCGAUUUAACAUAAACUUGAAGUGUACAACAGACUGUUUUGUGUGGCCUGCUGCUUAUUUCAUGAGCUGUUCUUUCCCAUUUCAAGCAAGCGUAAUGUGCUGCAGCGCUGUCAGCACCCCACCAGUCUCGUGAUUGGGAUGCGAUACUGAAAUUCCAGGAGGUCUUUUCCCACUGAUGACUUGGAGCAGAAGCGACUUUGGUGGCAAAGGGGCUGCACUGGGGCCAGCCAGGCUCUUGAGGUGGUCCAUGGCAGUGGGAAACAUCAGUGGCCCUGGAGUUCCUGCAGGUGUUGAACAUCCAAAGGUCUCCGGCAAUGUUGCAUCCACACAUGUCAUGUGCAUCCAGCUGCAUGAGCGCAGUGUGUGUUUGUUCGUCUGGCUGCCAGACACACGGUGACUGGGGCUGGGGAGGGCAGCUCUGGGGCUGCUCUGGGUGCUGGAGCUGCUGAGAUCCCCCCCAUCCCUAUGGCUCUGCACAGUCCCCUGAGCUGUGUGAAGCUACACAAAGUUUCCUCUAAUCAUGAAUUUAAUAUGCUUUCAGACUUGACAAUCUCCUUUUAAAUGAAAACAUUUAUGUGGAGCAAAAGGCAUGUUAGCCUCUCCAAAUAAAUGGAAUUAUGGUUCCAAGAUCUGACUUAAUCCUGAAGCUCUUACACUGUACAGUAAGUAGAAAAGAAAGAGGAUUGCUUAUUGGAGGAUGGGUUAGCAGGAUCAGGCUCCAUUUUAUAUCAUUUCACUCAUUUUCCUUCUGGUAUUUAAUCUACCUUUUUCAGAACUCCCACUGGCUGUUCAUAACAAAGUCAAAGUAACUUCACAGCUAUUACCUAUUGGCAAACACUAAUAAUUGAGAAUAAUGAGGGGUGGUACAGAGAGUGCCCACCCAGCUUUCCUUCUAGGAAAAUGUGAGGAUUGUUAAACAAACCAAAAAUGCCAUUCUUCCAGAUGUAUUUUCAUCAUAAAGUCAUGUCCUUUAAAAAUCGAUUUCAAGAUGUUUCUCAAAUGCAUUGUAACUAUUUAUUCUUUUUCUAACUGUUUUCUUUGUGAAACUGUAUUUUAAAUCUGCAUUUAUGUUUCAAACAAUCUGAGGGAAGAUGUUCAUGAAGUAAUGGUGCUGUUUGUAUUUGUUCUGUUUCUCAAAAUAGAAUUUCUGAUCAGAUAACAUUAAAAUAUUUUUGUAUUAGUUUUCA
ensembl:lncRNA